GAGGAGGAGGCGGUGCCGCCACUGCCGCCGCCACCACCGCUACCACCGCCACCACCGCCGGGGCUACCCGCAAUGGGAAGCUGCCGGCCUCACAGAGCAUGCGCCACUCCUCGCACAUGCUCACUUGAAGAAGAGUAAGGAAAGUGCUGGGGAGGCUGUCAGCUACUGACGUUCGACUUCAGGUUCCCUCCAGGUGGAAGAACGAGGACCAGAAAGCAAGGGGGAACGUGCCCAUCGCCAGAGGAGGAGUGGCACGCUCUUCUGCUACCUCUUCUCCAAGGCUCUGCUGCCAACAGGAAGAUUUACUGUGAAUUGUGCUGGUUAAUUCAGAGUUUAAGGCAGAGAAAACCAUCCCAAUUAGAAGUGCCUUUAGCGAUCUUAUUUUAUAUGGUUUUUGUCAUUAGGAUUUACGCUUGUUUAACACAGCUUUUACUUACAAAGACAGGUAGUAAUCUAGCACAUUCUUUUUUGUGUGUGAAAGUAUUUUGUGUGUGAAAGUAUAACAGAUAGGCUAGUAUUCACAAGCCAGAGUCAUUCCCAAAUUCUUGUUCUCAACGGAGCAAUAAUAUUUUUUAAAUUACUCUUUUUUAUUGACUCCUCACUCACCUAAGAGUGCACUUUUAUCUCUUGGCAGUGGUCAUUUAAUGGUUUAUUUUUUUCUGCCCAAACUUACAUUUUUAAAGAUAAUUCUUGAAUGCGAUCUGAAACAAUAAUUGUGACGGAGACUGUAUAGCGUCUGAAAAUGUCAGAUCCAUCACAUAUCUUGUUGUUGUCUAUAAAAAAGUAACAUUUGCUCAGUCCUUUGUUCCAAGCUAACCUACGAACCCCAUCUAAGUAUAUGCUCUAGAAAUAUACGUGCCAAUGCACUUUGAUUCCUACUACGUUUUAUCCUUUGACUCUCAAUUUGAAGAGUUUCCUAAUUUACAGUCCUGACAAAAUAAUUUAUAAGUUCUGUCAUCCCAGUACUGUAUCUUUCAUCUAUGUACUAGUUCUUAUAUCUGUGCCUCUUCUUC
rnacentral:lncRNA from 10 species